UACCUAGAAAUUAGAAUUAAACAUCGAGACCUAUUUAAGAAUAGACUUCUUGUAGGUUCGAGUGACCAAGGGCAGUGAAGCUUCAAGCGAACCAAGUAUCGAAUCUCCACUUUGAGGAUAGGCGGUUGGCGUGCACGGUACUAAGCUGGGGAGUGAUUCCUGAUUCAACCUACCAUCUGUUUCCUAGUUAUUCUAUCCUGUAUUCCUAGUUGAUGAAUUGUCUAUCUCUGAUGAGCCUAGACUCACUUAAUCUAAUCCGCGGUUUACGUUUAACGUUAUGUAUUGGAGCCGCGAAACUAAACCUUCUAAAUUCAUUGGGAUUUUCAUAA